rnacentral:lncRNA from 10 species
CUGUGUCCCGCGGCUGCUUAACGGCGAAAGCUUCCUAUUUGUAACCCGAACCGUCUGAGCUACUGGGCAUGCCCAGUCCCACCACUGGAAAGAGUGGGCAGAGAAGAGAGAGCUUUGAUUCUGACAUGAGAGUCAAAUUUCAAAAUGCAAAGAACGAAGUGUUUAAAAAAUGCCUGGUGAUGCCCCCCCAGUACCGCCAGCUGCUGAGUGACCAUGGGCCACUAUCCAUAGGCUACACCCAGGGAGCUGGGAACAGCCAGGAGCCCCAGUGAAGAGUUGGGGAGAGAUCAACCCUGCCUACGUGGAGUAAGAACAGAAUAAAGAGACUAAAUCGAGGCAUUAUUCACUCUAGAAAGCUGGUAAG